rnacentral:rRNA from 1 species
GAUGAACGCUGGCGGCGUGCCUAAUACAUGCAAGUCGAACGAGGAGCUUUUGUAGCAAUACGAGAGAAUUCCUAGUGGCGAACGGGUGAGUAACGCGUUGGUGACCUGCCCCAAAGUUUGGGAUAACAGUUCGAAAGGACUGCUAAUACCACAUGUGAUCGUCUGGAUUUGAUGCCAGACGCUCAAAGGAGUAAUCCGCUUUGGGAAGGACCUGCGUCCCAUCAGCUAGUUGGUAGGGUAAUGGCCUACCAAGGCAAUGACGGGUAGGGGACCUGAGAGGGUGACCCCCCACACUGGCACUGAAACACGGGCCAGACACCUACGGGUGGCAG